rnacentral:rRNA from 1 species
AGGAAUAUUGGUCAAUGGGCGCGAGCCUGAACCAGCCAAGUAGCGUGAAGGAUGAAGGUCCUAUGGAUUGUAAACUUCUUUUAUAGCAGAAUAAAGUGACCCACGUGUGGGUUUUUGUAUGUAUGCUAUGAAUAAGGAUCGGCUAACUACGUGCCAGCAGCCGCGGUAAUACGGAGGAUCCGAGCGUUCUCCGGAUUUAUUGGGUUUAAAGGGUGCGUAGGCGGAAAGAUAAGUCAGCGUGUGAAAGUUUGCGGCUCAACCGUAAAAUUGCAGUUGAUACUGUUUUUCUUGAGUGUACAUAAGGUAGGCGGAAUUCGUGGUGUAGCGGUGAAAUGGUUAGAUAUCACGAAGAACUCCGAUUGCGAAGGCAGCUUACCGGGGUACAACUGACGCUGAUGCACGAAAGUGUGGGUAUCAAACA